UCGAGACUUUGUUUCAACAAUUCAACCGCGUUCGCCGCUCCGCGACUUGGCACGUACAAAAGAAAAAUUGCCAAGUGGCGCCCCACAACGCAUUUUCGAGGGAACCUCGCUGGAAUUUUGCAUUAUUGUCCCAGCAGUUCGGUUGACCCCGACAUUUGGCAAACGCCACGCGGCGUGUAAUCGUGUACCCGGCAAUGUCCGACGUCGUCAUCCAUUGCGUCCACCCGGGAGAAUUCAUUGCGUCCGUAAUAAGAAAAAAGAUCGCGUCGCCUCGAGCACGGCAAAGCACUUCCUCCGGCUUCAACACACCGCGUUGUAAUCGCGUUCGGAUGGCCUUCCGUGUUUCAGGACGAAGCGCACCGAGAACGCCGCCUGUUUUGUGCCCGCAUUAACGAUAUGCCAAGUACAAUGCUGGUCAGAAAAGUCCAAACUAGAACAUCCAAACGUAAAAUUACUUUCGUCGUCGAAGCUGGAGACAAAGGGGUCCCCGUGGAUUCUCCCGUUUCCAGGUUCCAUUGGAGUCAUCUUGGAAAGCAGCCGCUACAUUGUAUCGAAACAUUCCAUACCGCUAGCGGAAGGGCAAAAAACGAAAGACACUCAGCAUCCUGGGUACCAUACGUCUACGUGAGGCAAUUUGAUCCUACGUUUUUGUGGAAGCACGAGCGUUCCAGGUAAUGAGUGACGCUUCGCUUUUUCCAACAGUCGGCCGCUUUUUUCCCUUUUUCUUUCUCUCUUUAAGAAGCACCGUUAUGAUUCUACACGGGGACUGAGAGUACCGGUAUUCACGAAAUGACCGUGCUCGAUUUCGUCGCUGAACAUCACGGAGGGAUUGAGAGUCGUCGCGAACCAACAACACGAUAACACUUCUCCCGAUCGACUUUGAAUAAAUAGCUAUACAGCUCACCAUUAAGGUGAUUUAUUUCCAUGGAGAAUGAAUAAUAAUCGUUAACUGCUAUAAAGUCAAUCAACGAUAAUACAUGAUAUGUAUAUAUUGAUUCGUAGUAACUAUCUUACAGGAUAGGCUAUUUUAUAUGAUACCCGGUUUGUUAAAAUUGGGGACUAUAACUGUCGUAACCCAAAUUUGUACAGUAUAAGAAUCCAUAUCUUAGCUUAAAUAAUUUUAGUAAGAUUUUAUCGUUGUAAAUGGCUGCUAUAUUUUUGGUUCCUGGAUAGAAUAUCCUAUCUACUAUCUUGAAAUAUCAGAGAAAAUUGAAAUUCCUUCCUGCGUUGUCAUUGUCUUUUUUCAUUCAAUUAAAAGUAUUUGAUCACUA